CGAGCUAUUAGCUCAGUGGUAGAGCGCGCCCCUGAUAGAGGCGGUGGUUUACCCUGUG
rnacentral:tRNA from 1 species